rnacentral:lncRNA from 1 species
ACACACCCGGAAGCGGCGGCGGCGCCCCUCGGGGAAGAUGGCGCCCUCGGGGCUGAAGGCGGUGGUGGGGGAAAAAAUUCUGAGCGGAGUUAUUCGGAGUGUCAAGAAGGAUGGGGAGUGGAAGGUGCUUAUCAUGGAUCACCCAAGCAUGCGCAUCUUGUCUUCCUGCUGCAAAAUGUCAGAUAUCCUGGCUGAGGGCAUCACCAUUGUUGAAGACAUCAACAAACGGCGGGAACCCAUUCCCAGUCUGGAGGCCAUUUAUUUGCUGAGCCCCACGGAGAAGGUGCCUACAUGAGUGAGCGUGUGUGUAUGCGCGUGCAUGCGUGUACAUGUGCAUGUGUGUGUAUGUCUGCAUGCAUGUGAUUGCAUGUGUGCAUGUGUAUACGUGUGCAUGUGUCCAUGUGUAUGUGUGUGCAUGUGUGUGCAUGUGUGUGUGCAUCUGUGUAUGCAUGUGUGUGCGUGUUUGCAUGUGUGUCUAUGUAUGUGUCUGUGUGCAUGUGCAUGUGUGUGCGUCUGUGUGUGCAUUUGUGUGUAUGUGUGUAUGCGUGUGUGUCUGUGGGUCUGUGUGUGCAUUUGUGUCUGUGCAUGUGUGUAUGCGUGUGUAUGUAUGUGUGUGUGCAUCUGUGUGCAUC